rnacentral:lncRNA from 1 species
UUGCCCUUUUUCGGUUCCUGGAUAUUUCUCUGGCUUCGGUUGCACCAAACUCCUUUAGGUUUUUGAUAGGGUUCCUCUCUCUUUGUCAUAUAGUCGAAGUCCAGUCCACCCUUUCCUUGUUUAGAUACUUCUACACCUUCAAGCAUCAUCCCACGGUGAAGGACUGAUGGUACUUCUCCCCACAGUUCGGUAGAAAGGGGUUGCUGAAAGGUGCCCCCUCUUCUAUCCAUAACUGGAAGGGAAAGU